UGCAGCAUUUCUUCUGGUAGUUGCUGUAAUUGUUGCCAUCUUCUGGUUGAGGAAGUGUAACGGAUUCCAGCAAGUUGAUGGAGAAGAAUAAAGAGCAACAUUUGACUUGGUGGAGAGUCAAUAAAUUCACACUUUGCAUGGACACAGAUCCAUAGAGGGCUAAUGCUGCAUUAUCGAUUGUUGCUGUACAAUUAAGCUGUGCCCAGCAGUAAAAAUUAACAGAAUAUGGCAAACAGACUGGACUGGAUGUACGCUAUAAUUGGUGCAACCUUUUCUGUUCAUCAGUCUUAGUGAGAGGAGCUCUGAAUACACAUUUGCUGAAGCCAUGUACCUCAGAAAGCCUCCUGGAUCAGUUGGUGUAUUGAUCUUGGAGCUGGACUUAUUAUAAAUGUGCGGUGGCUUCAAUGUCUUUUUUCUGUAAAACUGUUGUGUAGUAAACAGCAGAACGAGGUUUUCUGCUUAUGAAACA